AUAAAAGGCAUUUCCCCCCUUCCUCAUUUCUCCUUCUUCCUCCUAGAAACGAAGAUUUAAUGGCUAUAGCUGAGUAGCCACCUUGCAACCAAAAAACCGAUUAUUUCUGGCCCUGUUCUUACAUGACAAAGAAAAAAUACCAACUCUUAAGAGGAAAACACUGGAAUCCCCAAAUCUGUGUCCAGUGCUGGAGGCUGGCCCUGUGCAGUAUAGCAUGGCCCUGGGCCUGAGCUGAGACAGAGAUACAAUGAAGGACAUAUUUUCCCAUUCUACUCACCAAAGUGUGGAAUCUGACUUCUUGUGCUUGUCCUAAAUGUCUCUUUCAAGUCUGAAGAGGGGGAAGGGUCAAUCUUGGGAUAUUGUACCAAAACUGGUAGUUAAAAAUCUUGCUCAUGCUUUCUACUCUUCUUCAGAAUCUGAUUCUUGUUUUUAUUUUUUUAAUUCUUAUUUUAUUUUAUUCACUUUUAUUGGAAUAUAUUUGACAUACCACAUGGUGUAAAUUUAAGGCGUACAACAUGUUGAUUUGAUACAUUUAUAUAUGGUAAUAUGACUGCCAUUGUAAAGAGAGUUAGCACCUCUAUCAUAUUACAUAAUUAUCACUUCUUUCUUGUGAUUGGAAUAAUUAAGAUCUAGUCUCUUAGCAAGUUUGAUGAUUAUAAUACAAUAUUGUUGUCUAUAUUCACUACACUGUGCACUAUUAGAUCUCCAAGAUUUACUUAUCUCCUAGUUGCAAGAAAAUGUUAUUCCUUGUAAAAACCACAGAAAGAAAUACAGACAAAAUUACAUAACCUCAAUAGAGGGAAAUUUAGCAAUGUCUAAAAAGAUUACGUGUGCCCUCGCUAUUUGACUCAGUAGUCCCACUUCUAGGAAUCUAACCCAAAGAUACACCAGCAAAAGUAUGAAAUGAUGUAUGCACAAGGCCAUUCACUGCAACACUAUGCUUAAUAGCAAAAGAAUGGGAAAAAAAACAAAAGUCUACCACUAGUGGACCAGUUGAAUAAAUUAUAGUGGAGCCAUAAUAUGGAAAGCUGGGGAAAUUUUUUUAAUAAAAUAAAAUGGAAUAAUACAGAAUGAGAUAGAUUUCUAUGUAAUGGUUAGGAAUAAUGUUUGGAAUAUAUUAUUCCCAUUCACUGAAAAGACAUAGCAGCAAUGACAGCCUACUAGCAAUGAGUAUAUCUAAUGCCUAGACUGUGGUCUCUAAAUAUCAUAUCCUACCAAAAGGAGCCAAUCUUCUUUGAAGAAAUAAUUGCUUAUAGGUGUAUAACAGGAAAUGUACAAAACGAUCCUAGGGCUUUUUUUUUUUUAACCAAAAAGCAAGGGAGACAUCAAAGCCUAAUGUAGUCAUGUCAAAAGAAUACAGGGUCCAAGAUGAAGGGGAGUUCUCAUAUGCCUGUAUUGGGACAAUUAGAGCAUAAAAAAUCUGCAAUUAAUCAAGCAUCAAAUGUAUAAAAUACGAGUUCAUAAUGACAUUAAAAAACAUUGGUCAUCCCUGUAUGAUGCUAGGGUACCAAAUUAUUGUUGCAAAAAUUAACAAAGAUAAAAAUCAAGAACUUAUCACACCUUUCCCAUAUGAACUGUAAUUCAGGGCAUCCAAAUAGUUAAUGAUAUUCUUCUUUAUGCAACAAUUCCAGAUAGCAAAUGCAGAAGGAAUGGUAGAAUGAUAUAUCACUAUUUAUAAUCCCUAAUGAAAUAAUAAAUCUAAGCUAUGGUUUCUCAACCUCAGCACUGUUGACAUUUGAGGCCAGAUGAUUCUUUAUUUUGGGACUGUCUAUACAUUGUAGGAUUUUUACCAGCAUCUCUGGCCCCUACUAAUUUGAUGCCAUUAGUCCCCCCUCUCCCAAGUUGUGACAAUCAAAAAUGUCUUCAGACAUUGUUAACUGUCCCCUGAGGGAUAAAAUCAUCCCUGGCUGAGAACCACUAAUCUAGAGCAAUGAUCAUGAAUGGAUUAAAAAAAUUAGAUAAAUAAUGAUGGGGAACUUCACAAUGGAGGGAUCAGGUUGAUACCACCUGAACCCACUGAUCAAAUUCAGCAUCACUAAGAGUGGGACAGCUAGAUAUUAUGUCUCCUGAGGUGAUGCGGUAGGAAUCAUACAGCACCAACAAUGACAUAUUGAUGUAAAAAAUAAAAACUAAACCUAAAUCUAAUCAAACAUCUAGCUCUAAUUCCCAGUUGAUGGUAAAUAAACGAAACAGAAGAACAAGUUCAGUGUUACCACGGAGAAGCAAUCAGCCAAAUCCAAAACGUGGAAUUUUUUAUAGGAAAAAUGACUUGUUUUUUUAAAAUGAAAAAUGGCAUUUAAAAGAGGAUGAGGAAAACAAUAAAUGUUUAAAUACAUUUAAAGUAAACCAUUACUGUAUGAUUCCACUCUAUGACAUUCUGGAAAAGGAAAAACUAUGGCGACAAUAAAAAUAUCAGUAGUUGUCAGGGAGAGCUAGGAAUGAAUAGGCUGAGUACAAAUGAUUUUAAGGCAUUGAAACUAUUCUGUAUGAUACUGUAAUGAUGGAUACAUAUCAUUAUAAAUGUAUCCAAAUCCAAAGUGUGUAUAACACCAAGAAUGAACCUGAAUGUAAACUAUGGACUCUGGGUGAUUAUGAUGUGUCAAUGCUAAGUUUAUCAGUUGUAACAAAUGUAUCACUCUGGUGGAGGAUGUUAAUAAUGGAGGAGGUUAUGCAUGUAUGCGGGCAGCAGGUAUAUGGAAAUUUUCUGUACCUUUCACUCAGAUUUGCUGUAAACCUAAAACUGCUCUAAAUAUUAAAGUCUUUUUUUUUUUA